CUCAAACGGCUAUGGGAUUCAAAUUGAACCUUUUUAAUCAUUUCACUUUUUACAAUGUUAACGAUGGUAAAUUGGAUACGAGACAUGCAAUACACACUGUCACAUUGAAUCCAAGUGAAUAUGAUCAUUACGAUUGGAUUAAUGGAGUUGUAUAACACUUGAUGUUUCCAUAUUUGAUGUAAAAUCUCUUAAUCGUUACCUUUUUCCCUUUUUUACGAGCAACAGCUCAAAGAUCCAGCCAACGCUAUAAUGAAGGAGAGUGAUUUCCUCCCUGGGAACAAUCGGAGGACAUGAUGUAAAACGUGCAACGUGGAACAUCCUCGCACGCAUGUUCACUGAUGAUGUUGGCAAGUCCAUAAAUUGGAAAGGGAUUCAUGGAAAAAAUCUUUCAAUCUAAUGACGUCCAAGACUUUGCUCCGCGUAAGUAACUCAUAUAUAAUGAAAACAAUUUGAUUUCACCCGGAGGUCUUUGUGUUCAAACUUACGAAUAACCAUGUUUCUAAAUAAAAUGUUUGAAUUGCAACUUUAUUCUCUAUUUAGGUGAAUGUUACUCAACUAUACCUUUACAUAAUAGUUAUAUGAUAUAUUAGCUCUAUGGAGUGGAGAUGGUCAGCUGCUUCAGGUUCCUCGGGGUCAACAUCAGCAACGACCUCACCUGGUCUGCUCACACAGACAAGGUGGUCAAAGCGCCCAAGCGCCUCUUCUUCCUGAGGAGACUGAAGAAGUUUGGCAUGGAUUCAGUCAUCCUCACCAAUUUCUACAGAUGCACAAUAGAAAGCAUCCUGACUGGGUGCAUCACAGUGUGGGAGCUGCACAGCCAAGGACCGCAAGGCCCUUCGCAGUGUGGUCAGGACUGCGGAGUUCAUCAUCGGUAGGGAGCUCCCAGCCCUGCAGGACACGUACCGCACACGAUGCCUCAGGAAGACUGGCAGGAUCCUAAAGGACUGCCAUCAUCCAGCCUUCAGCCUGUUCACCCCGCUGCCUUCUGGAAGGCGGUACCGUAUCAUCUGGUCUCGCACACAGAGACUGGAGAACAGUUUCUUCUGUGUAUCUGACAAUAAAAGACUUGACUUGACUUGACUAUAUUUAGCAUAGCACACUUUAAGUGCCAGACAGCCACUAGAUUUUAGACUGCAUGUCUGAUUUAUGUUGCACUGAGUAUUCAUGUGAUUUUGUAUCUGCUUGUGUGAUUACAGAUGCUGUCAGAAAGAAUCACUCAACACAUGCGUCCACUGACGACCAGGUUCUUAAGCACGCCAUUCGGUGGUUCAACCUGGCAGCAGACCGGCCUAGCUCCAGGAGGCGUGCUACUGUAGACGUCCCCCACACUGAACAGACUUAAAAUAUAUCUUUUUUAAAUGUGUGUGUAUAUAAAUUUGUCCUUUCAAAUAAAAAACUGUUUGACAUUA